rnacentral:rRNA from 1 species
GAUGAACGCUAGCUACAGGCUUAACACAUGCAAGUCGAGGGGCAGCAGGGAUUUAGCUUGCUAAAUCCGCUGGCGACCGGCGCACGGGUGCGUAACGCGUAUCCAACUUUCCCGUUACUCUUGGAUAGCCUUCCGAAAGGGAGAUUAAUACAAGAUGGCAUCAGAAUUUCGCAUGUUAUUCUGAUUAAAGAUUUAUCGGUAACGGAUAGGGAUGCGUGACAUUAGAUAGUAGGCGGGGUAACGGCCCACCUAGUCUACGAUGUCUAGGGGUUCUGAGAGGAAGGUCACCCACACUGGAACUGAGACACGGUCCAGACUCCUACGGGAGGCAGCAGUGAGGAAUAUUGGUCAAUGGUCGGAAGUCUGAACCAGCCAAGUAGCGUGAAGGAUGAAGGUUCUAUGGACUGUAAACUUCUUUUAUAUAGGAAUAAAACCUCCCACGUGUGGGAGCUUGUAUGUACUAUAUGAAUAAGCAUCGGCUAACCCCGUGCCAGCAGCCGCCGUAACAC